rnacentral:rRNA from 1 species
GAUGAACGCUGGCGGCGUGCUUAACACAUGCAAGUCGAGCGAACAGACGUGUAUCUUGUUCCUCUGACGUUAGCGACGCAUGAGUGAGUAACACGUGGAUAACCUACCUAUCUGACUGGGACAACUUCGGGCCACUGGACCGAGUACCGGAUAAUAUAAUGAACCGCAUGGUUCACUCGCGAAUGAUUGUUUUGCUGUUACGUCUAGAUCGAUCCGCGCCGCGUUUGCUUGUUGGUUAGGUAACGGCUUACCAAGGCAACGAUGCGUAGCCGACCCGGGAGGGUGAUAGGCGCCGCUGGAAGUGGAGCACGAUCCAGACUCCUACGGGAGGCAGGAGUAGGCAAUCUUCGGCAAUAGGCGAAAGCAUGACGGAGCAACGCCGCGUGGGUGGAGGAGGUCUUCGGAUCGUAAAGCUGUAUUAUUAGGGAAGAACAAAUGUGUAAGUAGCUGUGCACGUAUUGACGGUACCUGAUCAGAAAGCCACGGCUAACUACGUG